rnacentral:rRNA from 1 species
GAUGAACGCUGGCGGCGUGCCUAAUACAUGCAAGUCGAGCGAACGGACGAGAAGCUUGCUUCUCUGAUGUUAGCGGCGGACGGGUGAGUAACACGUGGAUAACCUACCUAUAAGACUGGGAUAACUUCGGGAAACCGGAGCUAAUACCGGAUAAUAUUUUGAACCGCAUGGUUCAAAAGUGAAAGACGGUCUUGCUGUCACUUAUAGAUGGAUCCGCGCUGCAUUAGCUAGUUGGUAAGGUAACGGCUUACCAAGGCAACGAUGCAUAGCCGACCUGAGAGGGUGAUCGGCCACACUGGAACUGAGACACGGUCCAGACUCCUACGGGAGGCAGCAGUAGGGAAUCUUCCGCCAUGGGCGAAAGCCUGACGGAGCAACACCGCGUGAGUGAUAAAGGUCUUCGGAUCGUAAAACUCUGUUAUUAGGGAAGAACAUAUGUGUAAGUAACUGUGCACAUCUUGACGGUACCUAGUCAGAAAGCCACGGCUAACUACGUG